CCUACGGGAGACAGCAGUGGGGAAUAUUGGGCAAUGGGCGCAAGCCUGACCCAGCAACGCCGCGUGAAGGAAGAAGGCUUUCGGGUUGUAAACUUCUUUUGUCAGGGAAGAGGAGAAGACGGUACCUGACGAAUAAGCCACGGCUAACGACGUGCCAGCAGCCGCGGUAAUACGGAGGUGGCAAGCGUUGUCCGGAUUUACUGGGUGUAAAGGGCGUGUAGCCGGGUUGACAAGUCAGAUGUGAAAUCCUGCGGCUUAACCGCAGAACUGCAUUUGAAACUGUUGAUCUUGAGUACUGGAGAGGCAGCUGGAAUUCCUAGUGUAGCGGUGAAAUGCGUAGAUAUUAGGAGGAACACCAGUGGCGAAGGCGGUCUGCUGGACAGCAACUGACGGUGAGGCGCGAACGCGUGGGGAGCAUACAGGAUUAGAUACCCCUGUAGUC
rnacentral:rRNA from 1 species